CACACCCUGUGUGUCUCUGUCCUGCCAGCACCGAGGGCUCAUCCAUCUGCAGAGCCCGGGGUCACCGGGAGGAGACGCCAUGACCCCAGCCCUCACAGCCCUGCUCUGCCUCGGGCUGAGUCUGGGCCCCAGGACCCACGUGCAGGCAGGGCCCCUCCCCAAACCCACCCUCUGGGCUGAGCCAGGAUCUGUGAUCAGCUGGAGAAGCCCCGUGACCAUCUGGUGUCAGGGGAGCCUGGAGGCCCAGGAGUACCGUCUGUAUAAAGAGGGAAGCCGAGAACCACGCGACACACAGAACCCAAUGGAGCCCAAGAACAAGGCCAGAUUCUCCAUCCCAUCCAUGACAGAGCACCAUGCAGGGAGAUACCGCUGUUACUAUCGCAGCCCUGCAGGCUGGUCAGAGCCCAGCGACCCCCUGGAGCUGGUGGUGACAGGAUUCUACAGCACACCCACCCUCUCAGCCCUGCCCAGCCCUGUGGUGGCCUCAGGAGGGAACGUGACCCUCCGAUGUGGCUCACAGAAGGGAUAUGACCAUUUUGUUCUGAUGAAGGAAGGAGAACACCAGCUCCCCCAGACCCUGGACUCACAGCACCUCCACAGUGGGGGGUUCCAGGCCCUGUUCCCUGUGGGCCCCGUGACCCCCAGCCACAGGUGGACGUUCACAUGCUAUGGAUCCUACAGGAACACCCCCCAGGUGUGGUCCCACCCCAGUGACCCCCUGGAGAUUCUGCCCUCAGGCGUGUCUAGGAAGCCCUCCCUCCUGACCCUGCAGGGCCCUGUCCUGGCCCCUGGGGAGAGCCUGACCCUCCAGUGUGGCUCUGAUGUCGGCUACGACAGAUUCACUCUGUACAAGGAGGGGGAACGUGACUUCCUCCAGCUCCCUGGCCCACAGCCCCAGGCUGGGCUCUCCCAGGCCAACUUCACCCUGGGCCCUGUGAGCCGCUCCCAUGGGGGCCAGUACAGAUGCUACGGUGCACACAACCUCUCUUCCGAGUGGUCGGCCCCCAGCGACCCCCUGAACAUCCUGAUCGCAGGACAGUUCUAUGACAGAGUCUCCCUCUCGCUGCAGCCGGACCCCACGGUGGCCUCAGGAGAGAACGUGACCCUGCUGUGUCAGUCACAGGGGCAGUUCGACACUUUCCUUCUGACCAAAGAGGGGGCAGCCCAUCCCCCGCUGCGUCUGAGAUCAAAGUACCAAUCUCAAAAGUACCAGGCUGAAUUCCCCAUGAAUCCUGUGACCUCAGCCCACGCGGGGACCUACAGGUGCUACGGCUCAUACAGCUCCAACCCUCACCUGCUGUCUUUCCCCAGUGACCCCCUGAAACUCAUGGUCUCAGGACCCUCUGGAGGCCCCAGCCUCCCACCCACAGGGCCGCCCUCCACACCUGCCUCACACGCCAAGGAUUACACAGUGGAGAAUCUCAUCCGCAUGGGCAUGGCAGGCUUGGUCCUGGUGGUCCUCGGGAUUCUGUUAUUUGAGGCUCAGCACAGCCAGAGAAGCCCCCAAGAUGCAGCCAGGAGGUGAACAGCAGAGAGGACAAUGCACCCUUCAGCGUGGUGAAGCCUCAGGGACAGCUCUGAUGAUCCCAGGAGGCUCUGGAGGACAAUCUAGGACCUCCAGAGGGGGGUGAGAUUUCAGGCCACACACUGUGGAAGGUAAUCAUGUCGGAUCACAAAUUUUGGGUCUCCACCUUACUUCCAAUCUAUGUUGUGAAUGCCCAGUUGAGACCCACGGAAAAGAGCUCAUGGGUGAGUGUGAAGUGCUUCUCUGCCUUAAGUUCCCAGAGAUCCUUGCCUCUUGGAGGCCAGCAAACACUAACUCUUGAGGAAUUCAUGACAAUAUCAUCUGAUUCCUCCUUCCCAGCUUGUAUGGCAGUCUCCCACCCUCAUGUGUUCAAUCUGAUGAUCCCAGGAGGUUCUGGAACAAAAUCUACAGCCUGUGCUUUCUGGACUAUCUGUCGAUCAUUCCUGAAGAGAGGGAUCAAUGUUGAGAUGGGGUUUCACCAUGUUGCUCUGGCUGGUCUCAAACUCCUGACCUAAGGUGAUCCACCAGCAUCAGCUUUCCAUAGUGCUGGGAUUACAGGUGUGAGCCACUAUGCCUGGCCAACUUUUAUAAUUUCUAUGCUGGGAACAUUCCAAAUCAUUUCUCGCUCACGUGGAAAAUACAAUAAUUUGUUGCUAACUAUGGUCACCCCACUGAGCUCUCAGGCCCUGGAACUUACUCCUUCUCUCUACCUGUAUUUCUGCACCCAUCCACCAACCUCUCUCCAUCCCUGUCCUCCAACCUCUCUCCAUCCCUGCCCUCCACACUCCCUUGCCAGCCUCUGUUGACCACCAUUCUACUCUCUGCCAUCACGAGGCCCACUUUUGUAACUCCCGCGUGAGUGAGAACAUGCAAUGUUCCUCUUUCUGGGCCUGGCUUAUUUCACUGAACAUAACGUCCUCCAGAUUCAUCUGUGUUGCUGAACAUGGUACAAUUUCCUUCUUUUUAUGCCUGAAUAUUAUUUCAUUGUGUAUACAGACCACAUGUUCCUUAUCCAUUCAUUCACUGAUGGACAUAGGUUGAUUCCAUAUCUUGGCUAUUGUGAAUACUGCUGCAAUAAACAUGGCAAUGCAGACA